rfam:Tupaia chinensis contig151181, whole genome shotgun sequence.
GGGAGAAUACCAUAAAGUUGGUUUGUGACCUUUGAAGUCAAACUACCUGGGUUCAAGUCCCAGCUCUGCCA